rnacentral:pre_miRNA from 1 species
AGGUCUUGUAGUGCAGCCAAGGAUGACUUGCCGUUAAGCUUGUUUUGACAUUACCUAUGAAAUCUUCUUCUUCACAUGCUAACCGGCAAGUCAACUAUGGCUACGCAAAGUCCUCC